AUAUAUAUUUUAGCAAAUAUAUAACUGAGCAAAAUUUUUUUGUUGAAUAAUUUUCAUUAACAGAAAUUGUGUCUUGUUUUCGUAUACACUUUCUGGAUUAUUACUUGUGCUUAUGAGCAAAGGCUUGAAAAAGUAUUUACAGUAUGGAAAUGUUUCUGGCAUAUGAUUCAAACUCCUAAAUCCUCUUUGUAAAUGAAAUAAUGGGGAUUUUCAUGGUAUCAGGAUAACAUUCCAUCGGUACAAGAUAGCUGGAAGAAACCAAAUUACAUCUAAAGGAGAGAUAAACCACUUUAUUUUUAAACAAAAUUUUUUAACCCUUCAUAAAAAAAAAAAAAAAGAGAGAGCAAUGCAAUUUAAUCCUCGAUGUAUUUUAUGGAAGAGGCUAAUAAAUUAAUUGAUUUCCAUAUUUUCCACUUCAGGAUAAUCCUUAUCUAAUCUUCACCAUUCCUGAGCAAUAUCUCUAUGAGUAUUGGUCAAUCACAAACAGUCUUUCAAGGGUCUUUAGAAUUCCAGAGUCCAUAAUCUCCCAGAAAAUCUAUUUUAGCACUUCACUAUUCUUACCAUUUUAUUACCACUUUCUAAUAUUCUAAUUUUGAACAUUGUUGCAGUCUAAACACAUCAUUUCUUCUUCUCUCUCUUAGGCCACGGAAAAGAAUUUAUUCCUUCUCUCCUACUUGCAACAUUUUAUAUAUUUGAAAAAUUUCUGCUUUUCAGUUUUUUGUUUUUUCCUAGGGUAAAGAAUCAUAAUUCAUUCAUGUUUUUCUUUCUCUCCAGUUAUGUUUUUUAGAAUCCCACUUGUUCAUCGUAUUCCACUGAGCUCCCUUCAAUUUUAAAUCUUUCACAAACUGUGGUGUUCAAAAUUGGAAAAAGAAACCCAGCUGAGGCUUGAACAGAGCAGAGAAGAACAGAAGAAUUGUUUAUAGGUUGUCUGACUAUUUCUAACUUUUAUUAUAGUCUAUGCCUUUUUGCAUCAGAGUGGCACAGUUAAUUCACAUUUAGAUUGUCACCCAACUAAUCCUUUUUCUGUGAAACUGUUGCAUUACCAGGCCAUAUCCUCCGGGCUUCUGAACAGCUUGUUUGCUUGCAGACGGACUCUUUCUAGUUUCCUGACACUCCUUGUGAGCUGUGGAGCCAAAAACUGGACAUGCCACUCCAGGUGCCGCCUUGUCAGUGCUGUGUAGAGUGACACGUUAAGUCCUGGCCUCAUUUCUACUGGUGUGGCCUAAUAUGCACUUUGUCUUAUUCAUGUUGGUGGUGGAGUUCUGCUCAUGUUCAGCUUGAUAAUUACUGCAGCCCCCGGGUCCUUUUGGUCAGGUGCCACUCAGCCAGCUCUGCUUCAUGAGGUCAUUCCACCCCACACACAGAAUUCAAGCCUUCUCCCUCCUGAUCUUCACAAACCUUCUGUUGACCCAGUCUCCACUUUUCUCAAGGUUCCCUGGAGCUGAAUCUGUAUCACAUGGUGUGUCAAACAGUUUUUCAGCAAAUUUUCUGGGGGAACAUUCUGCUCCAUCAUCCAGGAGGAAAUACUGGACUGCUUUCCAGCCCUAGAGUAUUUGUUUCAUUACGAACUGUUACACCUCAAGCCAUUGAAUAUUGCCUUGGGACACAGUGCUGCAGCCACUUUUCAGCCCAGUUAAAAGACUGUUUAUCCCACCACAGUUUCUCAGCCACGAGAAUGUGGGGAAGGCAUUGCCAAAUGCCUCAGUGGAGUAAAAGUUGCAGGAACUUUUACCAUUUACUUUCCCAGUCCGUAGUUUUGUCAUAGAAGGCAACCAUGUUGGCCAGGUAGGAUUUGCCUUUGUAAAUCUGUGCUGGUCUUGGUGGGCUCUUGUCUUUCUGCAUGCUCAUAAAAGGAGUAUAUGCAUCCUCCAUCCAACCAGGGAUUGCACUUGGUGUGUCCAGCUGAUGGUUCCCAGGAUUGUCCUUCUUGCCUUUUUUAAAGGGAUAUCAUAGCUGCACAAACUGGUCAAAGAAAAAGAAGCAGCAUGCAUGGUGAAAGUCUGGCCAUAGUAAAUCUGCAUAACUACAACAAAAAGGGAACUCAUAGGCCUUCUACAGUGUUGAUCAACAUUAGCAAAAUCACCUGAUGGUCAUCUGACUUCCAUUCCAGCCAGGGAGCAAGAAGAGUAAUCCACUUGAAUGGAAAAUUAUUACUGAAGGAUUAUUUUGGGCCCAACCCAAAAGUGCUGCAGGUCUUCUCCCACCAGCUUUUCCCAGACAGAGAUGUGGUACUGCUGCUGUGAUGCUGCUCCCAGAUGCAGAUGCAAAGGCUGAAGGUACUGGGAGGCACAGUGGAGGCCCAGGGAACAUCGAACAUCCCCCUUCCACACAACCCAGUUUGGAUCUGGAAGCAGAAUUGACACAUCUUCAAAGCACUCUGCUACACCAAAAAUAACAGCCCCUCUAUGGUUCUGGAUCCCUUUUUCUGGUUCUCAGCUUUCAGUUCAGGUCUCUCAGCUCUUGGUGUUCAUAGCUAGGAAUGAGAAGGGCCCAUGUGGUGGUGUAGUCCUGCUCUUCUCAGAGCAGUGCAUGCCCUAAGGUCUGCCCUCCUGAGAAGAGCAGGCACUGGUGCUUCAGAGCACAGCACAGAACUCUAAAUGUGUUCCAUGUUCCAAAAAUAUCCUGAAAACCAACUUAAGUUGUACUCUUAGUGAACAUGUUCUUUCAUCUAAAGCCAGAAAAAUUGCUCUGUUUUCUUUAACAAUGCUAAGAUAUCCAGAAAUUAAAGUGUCCAAUACAUUUCAUUUGUUGUAUACGUGUAACAUAUUGCCAGAGACAUUUGACUGUUUUAUUUCUAGAAAAAGUGCCAGCAUGAUUUGAAAGUGGUAAUUCUUCCACAGUUUGGUUAGAAAUAGGCUAAUAGGGGUUUAAACUGGGAAGACAGAAUGAAUGUUAAUUGUUUUCAAAUAACAUAGUUUAAGCAGCACAGUUAGUUUCAAAUAGCACAGAGGUAAUCAUUGAAGUGUGUAAACUAAAUUUUUUUUCAGUUACCAGUUAUUAGAACUCCAGCUUAAAUUAAAAAAAAAAACAAAACCAGAAGAAUUAUGCCAAUUCAUAAUAAGGCAGAUGUACUGAGACUGGCUAAGACUGAGUUAAUUUUCUUCAUAGAUGCUUAUGUGGCACUCCGUUUUAGAUUUGUUACCAAAACAAAACUGACAAUGCACUAAUUUUCCAGCAGUGUUUUCACAGCAUCAAGGCUCUCUGUGGUUCUCAAUGUGCCCCACUCCAAAGAGGAGACUAGGGGAUGCACAACAGGAUAGAAGGGGGGAUAACCUCAGAAACCCAAAGAGAUAUUCCUUGCUGUAUAACAUCAUGCUCAGCAAUAAAAGGAAAAAGAGGGGGUCUUAGGGAGGUUAGUAAUCUUUUGGUUGGGAAAUGGCUGAGCAUUGUUCAGCCUGUGGGAGGUGGUGAGUGAUUGCCUUUGCAACAUUUGGGGUUUUUUGAGUUUUUUGUCUCUUCUUCCACAUAUCCUUCAGUUAUUAAUAUUAUUUUUAUUUUUUAUCUUUUCAUCUUACCCAAUUUUUAUUGCUUUUAUUCUUUCUUUUCCUUAUUCCUCAUCCAACUGAGAGCUGGGGAAGUGAGCAAUCAGCUGUGUGAUGCUUAGCAAACCACCAGGGUAAACCCAGAACAGGAAGUACAGAAAGCCUGUGGCACACCUUCCUUGUUAUUAACUUGUUUCAUGGACCUCUACUAAAUGAGUAUAAAAUGUCCAUGUUCUGCUUUUUAAAUCCAUUACAAGGCAAUGGAGAUCAGUGCUAUUGGUUUCAGUAAAGCUGCUUCUGAUUCAAGCUGUUCUACCUGAGAUGAGAUUAAUGUCUGUUAAGGCUUCAAUUAGCUUUACUCUCAUUGUACUCCUCUGUGAAAAAUAUUUCACAACAGAAAACAAAUGUGAUUGGGUAUUAUUCAUGAUUCAUAGAACAACACCUGCUGUUCCAAGUUGGGACUGAAAAACACUAGGAGAUGUGUUAGCACAAUGUGAGACAAAUGCUGAAAAGGUGUAAGUGGCAGCAGCACCAUUGUUUUCCAUGUGGUACAUGCAUUUCAGCCUUUUUUAUGUGUAUUUAGACUGGGAUUUAGCAGAGUUAUUAUAAAAUUUUUAAUAAGAAAUAUAAACAUGAGGCAGCUGGAGUGCAUUCUGCUCUUCUUGAUUUUGUUGUUGUGGCUGAUAUUUCUCAUACAAUAAACAAGCUCUGUUAGAAGUAUCCUCUUCUUAAAAUUUUAAUAGUAUUUAAUCCAUAAAUACUUCUCUAAAUACCUCUGUUUUACUAGUCAUAAUGAAAUACAUUCACUGCAAGAGUCAUAAAGCAGAUGAGGCAGUGAAAAUGCUUAGUGAGUGUUAGAGCUAACAAUCAUAAUGAUGCUGGAGCAGUUGGAGCACAGCACACAAAGACACAGCAAGAUGCUACCAUAAGCUCCAUGCACUCCACGCAGAAGCAGUGGUAAUAGAAGAUUGUAUAACAGGAAUUACAGGCUGCACUGGAAUUAGUGUCUACCUCUGGGAUUGGUUUGUGUUAGCAGAGCCAAAAAUGACAUAAAUGUUCAUUUGAUGUUCAGAAUACUUCCUCUUUUUCAGCAUUCCUUUUCUUUCCUGAUGCUUUACAGUGCUUAGACUGAAGAUUUUUGGUUUAUCAUCACUUUUUUCUCUUUAGCUUCAGUUUGAGGAAGAAAGAAGGUUCAUCUUUUCUAUCACAUUUGGAGGUGCAAUACUCAGUAGACCAGCAGUGUUAUGCUGUGUCAGGUCUUAGUACAUCACCCAGUGCUGCAGAGCUGUGAUGCUGACUCAUCUGGCUGUGAGGUGUUUGGUGCUUGUACAGAGAGGCUCAGGAAAUAAAUGAACUGAAGUUUCUGAGUUUAUGGGAACUGAAAAGUCAAAAUAACCUAAAUGGAAUAAACUCUUGGCAUGAAAGGAAAUAAAACUGUCAUUCAAAGCUGCAUACAUUUAAUUCAUAGUUGGUCAUUUUGGAUGAUUAUGUAUAUAUUGCAUGCAUUUGUGUGUAUUUAUGUGCACAUGUCUUAGGAGCCCAGUGUAAUUGCCACCAAUUUGGGACACAUUUUAGCCUGGAAUAGCUCCAGAAGAACUUACUAGCUAAGCCUUGCUGGAAUUUAUGGAUAAGAGCAACAUUAAGAAAAUUAGCAGCAAGACCAGUUAUUCUGCAAGAGGGAAGAUGGUAAAAAGAAUUAAAUAGACUAAAUCAGAAACCCAAUAACUUCACUAAAACAUAGAGCUACAAAGGAAGUCUUCACUGUGAAUUAGAUACCUACCCAGUCCCCCGUGAGUAUCUUCCAAAAUCAUCAUACCUGCCUUGUUCCCCAAGUAUCUGUAUUUACUUUAAGCUCAGAUGUCUGUGCAUCCACUGUGAAGUCUUUCUAUACAACCUAGAAAUUAAUUCUAGAUUUGAUCAUACAUAAUUAAGUAAUGGUGACCUAUACUUCAGAAGAUUAUCAAUGCUGAUAUUGUCAUAAAUAACUAAUAACCUGACAAAUAAUACAGUAUAAACUUAAUUAGUGCACAGCACUAUAUGCCUCAGGAAGAGUGUUUCAAAGACCCUGUUUUCCUAACCCUGAUUGAUGAUUCCUUUUGAGCUUAAUAAAUGCUCAAAGCUGGGAUCAAAAAUUGUAUCUUUGCUAAUGUCUUGAAUUUAUUGAAUUAUUGUGCAGAGUAUUGUAAUUACUCUAAAGGAAUUAUUGGCUAUGGGUUUGCUGAUUUCUGAGUGGGUUUUUUGGGGGUUUCUUUCAUCUCAAUGACAUUUUUCAUCCAUGCCAGAUGACAAAAUUGUUUUGAGAAAUGAACUAAUCAAUUAAAGUGCUUCAUAUAACAGAUAUUCAAACAAAUCGGGGGAUUCUGGCAAUGGAGACAAUAUACAUGCUCAGAAGGGAUCUGUAAAUAAAGGGGAAGUAAACGUGAGGCAUGCAGGGAAAUUCAAAUCUAGGUAAUAACACAAAAUAAAGUAAAGCAUCAAAACACACUCAGACAAGUAAAACUUAACCAGAGAAUACCUUGUUUUCUAGAUUGCAGUGGUGAUACUUUUUAUUUUCCUGUUUUCCAGACUUCCAGUGUCAGAAGUGACUAUAUUUAAUGCAAGUUUUUGUUCUAGUCAUUUAAAAUAUGUAAAACUAUGAGGUUUCAUUUUGAGUUAAAUGGAUCAAUCAAUUUUUUCUGCCUAGGGCCCUCUUCUGCACCUAUUGCAAUCACAAAUAAAAUUUCCAAAUAGCAAAUCUUGGUAUGGGAUUGGGGCUUGGAAAAAGAGUACUAAAUAAGGUGGCUUGAAUACAAUUCAAGAGUUAGUAUUUUUAGCAAGUCAUCUAUAAUGGGAAAAGGGACAAAAGCUUCAGUGUAAGAAUAGGAACAAAAUUAAGCAGAACAAAACCAAUUUAUCUUGGCUUUGUUUGUUGCUUUGAAAGUUUUCCCCCUUCCUUUUUAGAAACACUCCAAAGAGGGGACUUUACGUUCUUUACUGUGCAUGAGUCCAAAAGUGCAUUUGGUUUUGUGGAAUAAAAAGUACUGAAUUUCUCAUGGCAUUAUUAG